rnacentral:pre_miRNA from 1 species
GAAGGUGUACCUCGUGCAUUUAAAGGUAAACCUGGUGCACCUUAAUGAACCAUGGUACACCUUUAAGAACUUGGUACACUU